rnacentral:rRNA from 1 species
GGCGGUUUGUUAAGCUAGAUGUGAAAGCCCCGGGCUUAACCUGGGAAUAGCAUUUAGAACUGGCAGGCUAGAGUUUUGGAGAGGGUGGUAGAAUUUCCAGUGUAGCGGUGAAAUGCGUAGAGAUUGGAAGGAAUACCAGUGGCGAAGGCGGCCACCUGGCCAAAAACUGACGCUGAGGAGCGAAAGCGUGGGGAGCAAACAGGAUUAGAUACCCUGGUAGUCCACGCUGUAAACGAUGUCGACUAGUUGUCCGUUUCAUAAACGAAGUGGGUAACGCAGCUAACGCACUAAGUCGACCGCCUGGGGAGUACGGCCGCAAGGUUAAAACUCCAAAUGAAUUGACGGGGGCCCGCACAAGCGGUGGGAGCAUUGUGGUUUAAUUCGAUGCAACGCGAAGAACCUUACCAUCCCUUGACAUCCAGAGAAUUUUCUAGAGAUAGAGAAGUGCCUUCGGGAACUCUGAGACAGGUGCUGCAUGGCUGUCGUCAGCUCGUGUUGUGAGAUGUUGGGUUAAGUCCCGCAACGAGCGCAACCCUUAUCCUUAGUUGCCAGCACGUUAUGGUGGGAACUCUAGGGAGACUGCCGGUGAUAAACCGGAGGAAGGUGGGGACGACGUCAAGUCAUCAUGGCCCUUACGGGAUGGGCUACACACGUGCUACAAUGGCGCAUACAAAGGGCGGCGAGCUAGCGAUAGUGAGCGAAUCCCAUAAAGUGCGUCGUAGUCCGGAUUGGAGUCUGCAACUCGACUCCAUGAAGUCGGAAUCGCUAGUAA